UGGGGAAUCUUGCACAAUGGGGGCAACCCUGAUGCAGCGACGCCGCGUGAGCGAUGAAGCCCUUCGGGGCGUAAAGCUCUUUCGACCGGAACGAUAAUGACGGUACCGGGAGAAGAAGCUGCGGCUAACUACGUGCCAGCAGCCGCGGUAAUACGUAGGCAGCAAGCGUUGUUCGGAGUUACUGGGCGUAAAGCGCACGCAGGCGGCUCUGUUAGUCGGACGUUAAAGCUCUCGGAUUAACCGGGAGAGGCCGUUCGAUACUGCGGGGCUUGAGGUAGGGAGAGGAAUGCGGAAUUCCGGGUGUAGUGGUGGAAUGCGUAGAUAUCGGGAGGAACACCUGUGGCGAAAGCGGCAUUCUGGCCCUCACCUGACGCUGAGGUGCGAAAGCGUGGG
rnacentral:rRNA from 1 species